CUGGGGUGGGGGGGAGUCCCCUUAGUGGUGUCUGGCACAUGUGCGUGCUCAGCGAGUCGUAACCCUGGGGACCGUUACUCCUGAUGCAAAGAUUCCUUCCCAAGAGGAGCAACAGGACAUUAAAAAGCAAAGAUGGAAGAGGCAGUAAGGACUCUGGGACCCCAGAUUGCCACAGACUUGGAGCAGUGUCCGCGAAAGACUCAAUUUUAUCCAUGGCAAGAAGUGAGCAGAACUGGUGACUGAAUAUUGACAAAUGACUAACAACAAAGACAACAACAACAACAACACAAAUCCCAUAAUUUAAAAAUUCUUAAAUAAAUAUAAAAGUUAUUCCUAAAGAAGCCAUCUGCAUUUCAAAAAUAUAGGAUGUAACCAGCGAAAGUACCAUUGGAAGAAAGAAACAACUGAAAGGAAAAGGCCAUCAACAAUGUCGGCAACAAGCAUGAUACAUUGCAAACAUUUUAAAAUUAAAUGUACACCGUUAGGAAUAAAAGGCUACUUCUCAA